CCUACGGGAGGCAGCAGUAGGGAAUAUUGGGCAAUGGAUGCAAGUCUGACCCAGCCAUGCCGCGUGGAGGAAGAAGGUCCUCUGGAUUGUAAACUCCUUUUGUCGGGGAAGAAKAGUUCUCUUGCGAGGGAAWGUGACGGUACCCGAUGAAUAAGCCACGGCUAACUACGUGCCAGCAGCCGCGGUAAUACGUAGGUGGCAAGCGUUGUCCGGAUUUAUUGGGUUUAAAGGGUGCGUAGGUGGUUUAWUAAGUCAGUGGUGAAAGCUGGUUGCUCAACAAUCAAGUUGCCAUUGAUACUGWUAGACUUGAGAGAAGUGGAGGUUCAUGGAAUGGAUGGUGUAGCGGUGAAAUGCAUAGAUAUCAUCCAGAACGUCGAUUGCGAAGGCAGUGGGCUGUACUUUUUCUGACACUGAGGCACGAAAGCGUGGGGAUCAAACAGGAUUAGAUACCCUGGUAGUCCACGCUGUAAACGAUGCGAACUAGCUUUUUGGUUUAGGAUUAGGAGGCUAAGGGAAACCGAUAAGUUCGCCACCUGGGGAGUACGCCGGCAACGGUGAAACUCAAAGGAAUUGACGG
rnacentral:rRNA from 1 species